AAAAAGGGAAGAGGGGAGAGUGGAUUCCCGCUCCCACCUCCCCCCAUGGGAGUGGGAAUCCCACUCCCCACUCCAAAAUUAGGUGGGAUCCACGGAGUGGGAAUCCCACUCCCCCUUAAAAAUGGUAAGUAAAUACUGAAGUGGGAAUAAUCUACACUCCACACUCUCACUCCAAAAAGUAAACACUGCCUAAAAGUGAUUGCCACAUUUUCGGAAUCCAAAAUUAACUUUUGUGUCGUGCCUUUUUUUAUCAUAUUCUCCUUUAGUACUUCAAAAUUUAUCAUAAAUUCAUAUUAAAUGUUUAUUUUAUUCAGUCAUUGUUUUGAACAGAACCUAAUUUUCGUUGAAAGAAUACACGAAGAGAAUCAAUUGGACUUUUGAGUUGAUAUUAUUGGACCUAUAUGCAUUAAUUAAUUGUUCUUUUGGUGAAAAAGUAAGAUGAAAAUGACCUUGUUUUAUCCAAUAAGAAAAGAAAAAGAUGAGAAUGACCUUGUUCGUUUCCGCAACCGAGUAAUUUUGGUUCUUUGAUUAGCAUAUCAUUAUGAACAUAUCCUUUAUGUGACGUGCAAUAGCGCAGUGGCUCAACUUAUCACAAAGAACAUUAAAAAAGAUAUAUAGUUACAUUCAAUUAACCAACCCAUGGUUCAAUACGCAGUGGAAAAACG
rnacentral:lncRNA from 1 species